rnacentral:tRNA from 1 species
ACAUUGGUGGUUCAGGGUUAGAAUUCUUGACUUCCAAGCAAGAGACCCAGGGUUCAAUUCCUGGCCGAUGCA